AAGUUUGGUUGCGAAAUGUUGUAAAAUAAGGAAAAUAUAGCCCUACGAAAUUUGCAAAUUUUGUAUUAAUUAAUUUUUGUUACGCACGGGAUAAUGCACUACUUUCGGCCCAACUGUGAUGCAUUUUCCCGCGCGUAAUACAAUUUAAUACAAAAUUUGCAAAUUUCGCAGGGCUAUAUUUCCCGCAUUUUACAACAUUUCGCAACCAAACUC